rnacentral:misc_RNA from 1 species
UUAUCUUGCUGAUCCAAGUGGUGUAAGCCCAGCAGAAGAGUAGAAGCAGGGAAAAAGAUUGAAAGAUGAACAUACUCCUCUGUAUACUGUAGAGUUUCAAUAUCUUUGUCAUAACAUGCAGUGAUAUACCAACUUUAAGACAACGUUACUACAGUUGCAUAUUUUCAUAUAGGCACUAGGCAAGAGCAUUUUCAUUGCCUAUCCAGUCUCCUAGAGGUAUUCAUUUUUAUGUUUGGAUCCUGCAAACUAUAACAUUAUCUUUGUAUUUUUCAAGGGAGAGACUGAUUAUUGUUACUGUUUUAUUCAAUCAGUAAAUCAGACUGGAAAGGUUCCAGUCAGCCGAAUAUGGUUGAGGGUACUCCUGAGGCCGUAUUUCUCCACUGCCUUGUUACCAGCCCUGUAUCCCUCUCCAUAAGCUGCUGACAUCUCGUACUCGAUCUGGUGUUUAAAAAAUUCACCAAGUUUCUUCUCAAAGUCAGACCGCUUUCCCUUCUUUGAUGAUGGAGAUGAUGAAGAUGAAGACGCGGAUGAUAAUGAUGAUGAUGGAGCACCAUCACUUAGAGAACUAGAGUGGAUUUCUGAAUCCAACCACAUAUGAGCCAGCACCUGGCAUAUACCUUCUUCGACCUCUGGACUUAGGUUAGGAUAACCUUUAAGCCGAAGCCAUGCAUGCAUCAUUUCAUGCGCCAGGAUUGAACCUGUCAGCAAUCUGGGGAGGCCAUACAAGAUGAGGAUUGCAGUCACUUCACACCGACGGCUUAGCCUGUAAGGCUCAGUUAUUAGGUCUAUGAACCGGUAGCCUGCUCCAAUUCUUGGCCCCCUUGAAACAGUGGGGAUAGUGUGCUCUUCUGAUAAGCAAAGUCCUCUCGUCUCUGGUAAGUGAUGAUGACCAUUCCUUUCUCCCUCCAUGGCCUCAUUCAAAGCUUGUCUCUCGACCAA